rnacentral:rRNA from 1 species
UGAACGCUGGCGGUAUGCUUAACACAUGCAAGUCGAACGGAAACGAUACUAGCUUGCUAGUAGGCGUCGAGUGGCGGACGGGUGAGUAACGCGUAGGAAUCUGCCUGAUAGUGGGGGAUAGCCCGAAGAAAUUCGGAUUAAUACCGCAUAAUCUAUUCGUAGUAAAGUGGGGGACUUUCGAGCCUCACGCUAUCAGAUGAGCCUGCGUAAGAUUAGCUUGUUGGUGGGGUAAAAGCCCACCAAGGCGACGAUCUUUAGCUGGUCUGAGAGGAUGAUCAGCCACAUCGGGACUGAGACACGGCCCGAACUCCUACGGGAGGCAGCAGUGGGGAAUAUUGGACAAUGGGGGCAACCCUGAUCCAGCAAUACCGCGUGUGUGAAGAAGGCCUGAGGGUUGUAAAGCACUUUCAAUUGUGAAGAAAAGUUAGCGGUUAAUAACCGUUAGCCUUGACGUUAACUUUAGAAGAAGCACCGGCUAACUCCGUGCCAGCAGCCGCGGUAAUACGGAGGGUGCAAGCGUUAAUCGGAAUUACUGGGCGUAAAGCGUGCGUAGGCGGUUUAUUAAGUCAGAUGUGAAAGCCCCGGGCUUAACCUGGGAACUGCAUUUGAAACUGGUCAACUAGAGUAUGGUAGAGGAAAGUGGAAUUUCUGGUGUAGCGGUGAAAUGCGUAGAUAUCAGAAAGGAACAUCAAUGGCGAAAGGCAGCUUUCUGGACCAAUACUGACGCUGAGGUACGAAAGCGUGGGUAGCAAACAGGAUUAGAUACCCUGGUAGUCCACGCCGUAAACGAUGAUAACUAGCCGUUGGGGGGAUUUACCCUUUAGUGGCGAAGCUAACGCGUUAAGUUAUCCGCCUGGGGAGUACGGCCGCAAGGUUAAAACUCAAAGGAAUUGACGGGGACCCGCACAAGCGGUGGAGCAUGUGGUUUAAUUCGAUGCAACGCGAAGAACCUUACCUGGUCUUGACAUCCUGCGAACUUUCUAGAAAUAGAUUGGUGCCUUCGGGAACGCAGUGACAGGUGCUGCAUGGCUGUCGUCAGCUCGUGUCGUGAGAUGUUGGGUUAAGUCCCGUAACGAGCGCAACCCCUAUCCUUAUUUGCCAGCACAUUAUGGUGGGAACUAUAAGGAGACUGCCGGUGAUAAACCGGAGGAAGGCGGGGACGACGUCAAGUCAUCAUGGCCCUUACGACCAGGGCUACACACGUGCUACAAUGGGAAGGACAAAGAGCCGCGAAGCCGCGAGGUGUAGCUAAUCUCAUAAACCUUUUCGUAGUCCGGAUUGGAGUCUGCAACUCGACUCCAUGAAGUCGGAAUCGCUAGUAAUCGUAGAUCAGAAUGCUACGGUGAAUACGUUCCCGGGUCUUGUACACACCGCC